rnacentral:pre_miRNA from 1 species
GCACCAUACUUUGUUACGUGCAGUGAUGAUAAGUCAGAGUUGUAGCACCAUACUUUGUUACGUGCAGUGAUGGUCAGUCAGAGUUGUAGCACCAUACUUUGUUAGGUGCAGUGAGGGUCUUUAUCAUCACUGCACGUAACAAAGUAUGGU